rnacentral:rRNA from 1 species
GACGAACGCUGGCGGCGUGCUUAACACAUGCAAGUCGAACGAAGAGCGACGGAAGCUUGCUUCUAUCAAUCUUAGUGGCGAACGGGUGAGUAACGCGUAAUCAACCUGCCCUUCAGAGGGGGACAACAGUUGGAAACGACUGCUAAUACCGCAUACGAUCUAACCUCGGCAUCGAGGAUAGAUGAAAGGUGGCCUCUACAUGUAAGCUAUCACUGAAGGAGGGGAUUGCGUCUGAUUAGCUAGUUGGAGGGGUAACGGCCCACCAAGGCGAUGAUCAGUAGCCGGUCUGGGAGGAGGAGCGGCCACAUUGGGACUGAGACACGGCCCAGACUCCUACGGGAGGCAGCAGUGGGGAAUCUUCCGCAAUGGACGAAAGUCUGACGGAGCAACGCCGCGUGAGUGAUGACGGCCUUCGGGUUGUAAAGCUCUGUUAAUCGGGACGAAAGGCCUUCUUGCGAAUAGUGAGAAGGAUUGACGGUACCGGAAUAGAAAGCCACGGCUAACUACGUA